UCACCUCUUGCUCUUGCUCUUGCUCUUGAUCUUCAGUGUUCUUCAAUUUGCUUCAAUCUUCAAUGGCUAAUUAAGAACUAGGGUUUAUAUUCUAAUCUAAUGGAGUAUUUUAUCUAAGCUAAUCUAUGUAUUCUCCCUUUAUUUUAUGUCUUACAUCAUGUAUUUAUAGGUUACAAGUCCAAUUUUGAGCUUAGGAAUAAACCCAAUCCAAUUUGGAGUAAAAAAUGUGUCAAAAUUCGCGCCAAAACACGUCCAAGCCCAACCAACCUCUUCCCCAGCGCCCCAGCGCUGGGAAAGACGCUGGCACACUGCUCCCCAGCGCCCUGGCGUUGGGCAUAGGCCAAAAAUGGGUGCCUCGGCGCUGCCACAUGUUCUGACAUUUUCUGCUUCGACCUCCUUUGGGAAAAUGGCCAUAACUUCUUCGUCUGUACUCCGAUUUCAAUGAUUCAAGAUGAUCCGGAAAGAGGAGAAGUAGAUCUACAACUUUCAUUCUUUAAGAUUUUCAAAAUAAG
rnacentral:lncRNA from 1 species